rnacentral:rRNA from 1 species
UGCUUGGGAAUAUGCCUUGAGGUGGGGGACAACAGUUGGAAACGACUGCUAAUACCGCAUAAUGUCUACGGACCAAAGAAGGGGAUUCUUCGGAACCUCUCGCCCUUAGAUUAACCCAAGUGAGAUUAGCUAGUAGGUGAGGUAAUGGCUCACCUAGGCGACGAUCUCUAGCUGGUUUGAGAGGAUGAUCAGCCACACUGGGACUGAGACACGGCCCAGACUCCUACGGGAGGCAGCAGUAGGGAAUCUUCCGCAAUGGACGAAAGUCUGACGGAGCAACGCCGCGUGAGUGAAGAAGGU